CAACCGAUAAUCCAUUUGAAAUAAGUCUGUAGUAGAGAGAGAGAGAGAGAGUAGUCCAUUUUUAACGAAAGAGAGUCAAAGAAAGCACAGGAGAAGAAGGGGAAAGUGAAGGGAACCCAUUUUUAGGUUUUGAGAUAGAGAAAGAGAAAGCACGGGAGAAGAUGGGGAAAGUGCAAGGAACCUUUUUUUAGGUUUUGAGAUAGAGAAAAAGAAAGCAAAGAGAAGAAGGGGAAAGUGCAAGGAGCCCAUUUUUAGGUUUAGAGAUAGAGAUAGAGAAAGAGAAAGCACUAGAGAAGAAAGAGAAAGUGCAGGGAAGAGGAGAGCAAGUGCAAAGCCCUAAAGAGAGAGAGAAACCCAUUUAGGCACCCAGAUCUUCCUACCUAUGGGACGGAUUCCAAAGAGAGAGAGAGAGACUAAAUCCACCGCUCGAGGAGAGGGAGAAACACAUGAAAAAGAUGUUUCAUACCGAUGAAUCCACUCAAGCCUUGUCAAAAUGGAAGCUUGAUCUACGACAGAUAGAGCUUAUCAGAAAGACUGUCUUGGGCUCAUUGAUGGACAUAGGGGUCUUCAAAAUCGAUGGCAAGUUGUUGAAGGCCUUCACAAAAACAUGGUGUUUGCAACAAAUACCUCCCACCUAAACGUUGAGGAGAGGGGUCCAACGUUAUAUGACAUAUGACGGAUAUUGCAUAUACUUGUUACAGGCGAGCCCGUUAUGGGUAUCAGGGCAGAAAAUGAUGGGGAGUUCAUUAAAAGCAACACACCUGUAUAGGGAUGUUAGAAGUUGUACUUGAAAAUGAAGAGGAUUCCAGGAGUUAUGUUGUCGCGGCCCAUGAAUUGUUAGUAACACACUAGAUGCAAGAGAGGAGAGUGAAAGUGAAGAGGAUGGUGAGGAGGAUAGUGAAAGCAAAGAGGAAGGUGAGGAGGAUGGUGAGAAGGAUAAUUAAAGGAGACAAAGUCCAGAGAAUACCAAUAUCACGGUCUUGCUAUGCCUGAGGAACCCAGAUGGGAACUUCCACCAAGGGUGAAGGGGAAGGUUGUACUUAGAUAGGGGCCUCUUACAUAUUUGUAAUUUAACCUCUUGUAGUUGGAUAUGUACAAACUCAGUUUUGCAAGCAUAUUUUGAUGUAAUACCUUGCCCUCAAACUCUAUGUAUGUGUAACAUCUAUUUAAGAAAGUAACCAUU